CUAUUCAUAUAUUCUAAGAAUCUUGUGUGAAUUGUUUACGAGGAAAUUCUGACUGUCACAUUAACAAGGAUGAACACUCUUGACUCUGCUUCGGAUUCCCCAGUGAUAAUUGUAUCGAGUGAUGAAAGAGCUGACGGCGACAUUUUAAUGUAUGAUUGGCUUGGACAAUUGGAAUGAAGUCAUUUCAUGGUGCCACCACUUGGGAUGGUAUUAGCUGCAAAUAUAGACUUGUACUCAGCUCUUAUUGCCUUUAAGAAGUAUGAGAUCCAUUUUGUGCUAACACCUACCGUGACACAGAAUCUUGGUUUAUGCAGUCUCAUAGGAGUAACCUGUCUAAAGCAUUUAGCAAUGGGAUUGGAACCUGCGACGUGUGACUCAUCUGAAUACUGAAUUUUGAUACCAAGCAUGACCAUGAUUUGCUAGAAGAUCAUCUGUUUGGAUGUGACAUGGAAUAAACAGCAUAGUGAAAAUAAGUAAAGUUUUGGUUUGUGAAGACAAUUUUUAAACACACUGUGUAUCAUUUUUAAAUUUUGAUUUGACAACAUAAAUCCACAAAUAUGAACAUAUCAAUUGCUCUCAGUUUUUCAAGUGAAAUAGUUUUUGUAACAGAAAUACAUG